GGGCACAUUCCAUUAUCCCAUCCUAUCCCAUUAUCCCAUCCCAUUAUCCCAUAUCCCAAAUCCCUCAUAGCAAAUCCCAUACCCCAAGUCCCAUUUCCCAAAUCCCAAAUCCCAUAUCCCACAUCCCAUAUCCCAUUAUCCCACAUCCCAUAUCCCAUUAUCCCACAUCCCACAUCCCAUUAUCCCAUCCUAUCCCACCAUCCCAUCACCCCGUUAUCCCAAACCCGGCCGAUCCGCGCCGCUCCGCGCUCCGCAGGGACAUCGCCGCCCGGAACGUCCUGGUGGCCUCCCCGGAAUGCGUCAAGCUCGGCGACUUCGGCCUCUCCCGCUACGUCGAGGACGAGGAGUACUACAAAGGUAGGAUCCCGCCGGAUCGCCGAUCCCGCCGG
rnacentral:lncRNA from 1 species